AUAAAAGAAGUCAAAUAUCAUGAUCUAUAUUUUUACUAGAAUGAAUCUGCCAUCUAGCGGUUCUUUAGGCUCAGUACACUCGAUUACUGGUGAAAUAUUUAUAGUGAAAAUUUAAUAUAGCACUAUUAUUUACUCAAAAAGUAGUGUUUGUGUGUGUGUUUUACUUUUUAAAUAAUAGACUGGGAAUAUACGUUUUCUUUUGUCUGUAAUUUUUGCAUGUAUAUGUAGCUAUAUUUAAAAAUAAUACCUCUAAAAAUGUUCUGCAUAAUCAUAAUUCAUUUCCCUAAAAAAAAAUGUAACAUUAAACUGAAAAUUCAAAUUGAAACAUUGCCAUAGAUUAAAACUCUCUCUUCUUUCUUAGAAUUUUGAAAUUAACCAUAACCUAAAAGAACAGAAGCCAGUGACAAUACAAACCUGGAAUCUAUCGCAUUUAAUUGUGAUGUUUUGUUUUGCUAUAUAGACAGCACUUAAACUAUAAAAUGUCUCAAGCUGGUAAACAUACAGUACAUACAGAGGAUUUUUAAGUCAGUGAGCUGCAUUGAUUUACAUAACAUUUACUUUAGACUAUUGGAGAUCACAAGAACACCAGUUUAUGAAUUUGUAACAGCCCCUUGAAGUCUAUAGCAUCUGUGACAACUGCCAGAGACAUCACUGCAUUGUGAUUGGGUGUUGAAAACACUGGCAGGGAGCUUCAGUUGUCUGAACGGAGGCUGUUAGGAUAGUUCUGCAAAGCUCAGUGAGGAUACCAUCAUUUUAAACAAUGAGCUUCUGCUUGCUACUAGUUUUAAUGCCAUUCAUUGGUGCCAGUAUACAAGACAGCAUUACCCCAACAUCUCCUGCAAUCCAUGCAAUGGUCAAUGAAAAAAAUACCAUCUCUGUUUAAAUACCAUUACAAUCUGUCAAUGAAUAGUCUACAGUGGUAUCGACAUUCUCUCAACUCUGCGCCGGAAUUCCUGGUUCUAAUCAUGGAGUCAGGACAAAAUCAAACGGCUACACCUCCUCACCCUCGUCUGACAGCUUCAGUCAAUAAAGAAAACAAGGCUGUGAAUCUGGAAAUCUUUCCUGCAGAUGUGAAGGAUUCUGCAGUGUAUUACUGCACACUGCAGCCCACAGUGGGAGGAAAUGCAUGUACACCAUACAAAAACCUUCUCAGAGCUAAAAGGAGAAGAAAAUGGUUUAAAUCAACCUGAGACCAAAGAGUCUGGACAAAUGCCACAAGGGGGCAGCACUUUUUUACCGCACUUGACAACAUCAGAAGCAUGCAGGGAUGUUGACGUGUGACAAGUGGUACUAGACUGCUCAGAAACAAAUAGGAACACCAAUUGUGAACAGAGGCAUAGCUGAUCAGUAAAUUCAGGAUGAGAAGAUCAGUGGUAUUAAUUCUCGUAGCUGCGUCAGUUGCUCUUGGUGAUCGCAUUGUCCCAGAUCAAGCUGUUAUUAUCAGAGAUGAAACCGACCGGGUCACAUUGAGUUGCUCGUAUGAAACAAGCAGUGAAUAUGUUUAUCUUUAUUGGUACAGACAGUAUCCUAAAAGUGAGCCACAGUACAUACUGUGGAAAGGUGCACGAUCAAGAGAUGGUUGGGGUGAUACACCAGAUCCUCAUUUUGAAUCUUCUAUAACCAGAACAUCCACUGAACUGAUUAUUAAAGCAGCUACUCUGAACGAUUCAGCUCUCUAUUACUGUGCUCUUCGGAAAAAAACCCAGUGAUACAAAGUUUCUGAGAAGCUUUACAAAAACACACAUGCUUUGAACUCAAAAUCAUCAAAGUAUUAGCCAAACCAAAAUGUAUUAUCUGCCAAAACCAUUACUGUAUGUGGGAACACCUGCAACUGAUACAGCAGCCAAAACCAAGAGAUUCAUAAAUUUAAUAAAGCAGCAUUGUGUAGUGCACUGUGAGGACAGAA